rnacentral:rRNA from 1 species
AUUGAACGCUGGCGGCAUGCCUUACACAUGCAAGUCGAACGGUAACAGGUCUUCGGAUGCUGACGAGUGGCGAACGGGUGAGUAAUACAUCGGAACGUGCCUAGUAGUGGGGGAUAACUACUCGAAAGAGUGGCUAAUACCGCAUGAGAUCUACGGAUGAAAGCAGGGGAUCGCAAGACCUUGUGCUACUAGAGCGGCCGAUGGCAGAUUAGGUAGUUGGUGGGAUAAAAGCUUACCAAGCCGACGAUCUGUAGCUGGUCUGAGAGGACGAUCAGCCACACUGGGCCUGAGACACGGCCCAGACUCCUACGGGAGGCACCAGUGGGGAAUUUUGGACAAUGGGCGCAAGCCUGAUCCAGCAAUGCCGCGUGCAGGAUGAAGGCAUUCGGGUUGUAAACUGCUUUUGUACGGAACGAAAAGCCCUGGGUUAAUACCCUGGGGUCAUGACGGUACCGUAAGAAUAAGCACCGGCUAACUUCGUGCCAGCCGCCGCCGUAACAC